AACGCGAAGAACCUUACCCAGACUUGACAUACACGUGACAGUUCCAGAAAUGGAAUCUUCCUUCGGGACACGUGAACAGGUGCUGCAUGGCUGUCGUCAGCUCGUGCCGUGAGGUGUUGGGUUAAGUCCCGCAACGAGCGCAACCCUUAUCCCUAGUUGCCAUCGGGUCAAGCCGGGCACUCUAGUGAAACUGCCUCGGAUAACGAGGAGGAAGGUGGGGAUGACGUCAAGUCCUCAUGGCCUUUAUGUCCAGGGCUACACACGUGCUACAAUGGUCGGUACAAACCGUCGCAAACCCGUGAGGGGGAGCUAAUCGGAAAAAGCCGGCCUCAGUUCGGAUUGGAGUCUGCAACUCGACUCCAUGAAGCUGGAAUCGCUAGUAAUCGCGGAUCAGAACGCCGCGGUGAAUACGUUCCCGGGCCUUGUACACACCGAGACGAC
rnacentral:rRNA from 1 species